AGGAUGAACGCUGGCGGUCUGCUUAACACAUGCAAGUCGAACGGAGUAGCAAUACUUAGUGGCGGACGGGUGAGUAACGCGUGAGAAUCUACCUUCAGGACGGAGACAACAGUUGGAAACGACUGCUAACCCCCGAUGUACCGAAAGGGCAAAUAUUUAUAGCCUGAAGAAGAGCUCGCGUCCGAUUAGCUAGUUGGAGAGGUAAAAGCUCACCAAGGCGACGAUCGGUAGCUGGUCUGAGAGGACGAUCAGCCACACUGGGACUGAGACACGGCCCAGACUCCUACGGGAGGCAGCAGUGGGAAUUUUCCGCAAUGGGCGAAAGCCUGACGGAGCAAGACCGCGUGGGGGAAGAAGGCUCUUGGGUUGUAAACCCCUUUUCUCUGGGAAGAACGUUGUGAAAGCAGCCUGACGGUACCAGAGGAAUCAGCAUCGGCUAACUCCGUGCCAGCAGCCGC
rnacentral:rRNA from 1 species